rnacentral:tRNA from 1 species
AAAUAAGAAACAAUGUAUUGUAUUUAGUUUCGACCUAAAAAUUAGGUGAAGUCACCCUUAUUUA